AAUGAACGCUGGCGGCAUGCCUUACACAUGCAAGUCGAACGGCAGCACGGGUGCUUGCACCUGGUGGCGAGUGGCGAACGGGUGAGUAAUACAUCGGAACGUACCUUAUCGUGGGGGAUAACGCAGCGAAAGCUGUGCUAAUACCGCAUACGCCCUGAGGGGGAAAGCGGGGGAUCGCAAGACCUCGCGCGAUUAGAGCGGCCGAUGCCUGAUUAGCUUGUUGGUGGGGUAAAAGCCCACCAAGGCGACGAUCAGUAGCUGGUCUGAGAGGACGAUCAGCCACACUGGGACUGAGACACGGCCCAGACUCCUACGGGAGGCAGCAGUGGGGAAUUUUGGACAAUGGGGGCAACCCUGAUCCAGCAAUGCCGCGUGAGUGAAGAAGGCCUUCGGGUUGUAAAGCUCUUUUGUCAGGGAAGAAACACCGGCUCUAACACAGUCCGGGAAUGACGGUACCUGAAGAAUAAGCACCGGCUAACUACGUGCCAGCCGCCGCGGUAACAC
rnacentral:rRNA from 1 species